UUUAAACUACAGAAAAACCAGAAGAGACCUCUACUGCUAACUCCACAUCCCCAUCACCAGUUCCUCAGACUAUUAAUAUACUGCAAGUUGUGAUUGCGGUCUCAGCACUCGGAGGAUUGAUUCUGAUUGUUGUCGUGAUAAUCAUCUGUUUAAAAUGCAGAAGGAAACGUAGCACGCAUGACCCCAUUUACAUGAACACCUACCGUAGAGAAAGCUCAAGGACUAGUAAAAAAAAGGUGACAUGUGACCAGAUGGAAAUUGAAUCAUGAAAUGAACUCCUUUAGGCUUCCUUCUUACUGAAAUCUUCACAAAGUCACCUACCCUUUGCACAGCAAGAGCCGACCUGAAAUACAUAUGUGUGUCUUUGCGUGUGGUUUUGCAAGUGGUUAUUUUAAGGGUCUUUUUUGUCUUAUGCAGUUGCCAGGAAAUUGUGUCUUCUGCAAGUGUGCUGUAUCUCUUUUAUUGUGUUAUUUAUGUUGUAUCUACAAGAUUACACUUGAUCUAAACACUUUAACAUCUUUUAUUCUCCAAACUAAUUUUAUAUCGUUUUAAAAUUCAAGAUUUAAGAUCCAAGAACCUUAAAAUGUAAGGAUUACAGGUGACAAUUGAGUAAAGCAAAAUGGAAUGACAUUCAUAUUAAGUGUGAUAGAAGUCAAGGGUUGAGUGUAAGAAAUAGGAUUAAUUGUAUGUUCACAGUGUACUAACAGUUAUGAAGUAUGAUAAUGAUAUGCAAUAAUGUAAUGCACAUGGAUAUUGUAAUUUAAACAAAUGUCAAUAUUUUACCAGCAGUAUAGUGGCAUAGUGGUUAGCACUGUGGCCUCACACUUCAAGUCUGUGUGUGUAGCUUGCGUGUUCUCCACAGUGCUUGGUGGGCUUCUUGCAGAUACUCUGGUUUUCUCCCACAGUCCAAAGGUAUGCGGAGUAGGCUAACUGCCAUUUUCAAAUUGCCCGUAGUGUGCAAGUGCAUAUUCGAGUGUGCUUGGUUGUGCAAUGGAUUGGCACCCUAUUUAACCUAUUUAGACCGCGUAUCCAAAGCGACUUAUAUUUUUAUCUCAUUAUACAUCUGAGCAGUUAAGGCUCAGGUUAAGGGUCUUGCUCAAAGGACAACUUGGUGGUCGUGACCUUGCAACAGGGACAACUUGGUGGUCUUGGGAUUUAAACCAAUUGUACUCCAAUAGCACUGAGCGACCCCUGACCCCUCGUGUCCUGGAUCAUCUGGGAUAGGCUGCAGGCCCCCGUGACCCUAUACUAGAUAAGCAGUGUAAUGAA